rnacentral:rRNA from 1 species
UCACCAAUCAAACCUGAUGAUAAUGGCGGUCUAAAUACAUUAAAGGAACUCGCUUCAUAAUCGACAACCCCCGUUAAAUUUUACUUAAUCAAUUAAGCCUAUAUACCGCCGUUUAAGAUCACAUUUACUAACAACGUUCUAUACCUAUAAAUAACAAAAAUCAGGUCAAGGUGUAGCCAACGAAUAAGCGCAAGUAAGUUACAUUAAAAAAAAUUUAAGGACUUUUCUCCAAAGAAAAAAUAUAAAAAGAAUUUAUAUAUACAUAUAGGCUAAAAACCUUUAUAGAAAUAACAUAUUACAGACGCACACA